UUGAAAUUUAUGUGAAUGAAACAAAAUAUACUAGCUAGUUUCUUGUAAUAAGUUAAAUUAAAAAAAAUAGUUAAAAAUAAAAAGAUAAUAUAAAAUAAAAUAUAAUAUAGAUUUAAAAUAAAUAAAAUAAAAAUGAACAAUUAAAAAAUUAUAAAAAUGAUAAAUAUUUAUAAAUAAAAAAAUUCUUUUAAAAAAAGCUAUGAUUUUAAAUCAACAAGCAAUCAUUUCC
rnacentral:lncRNA from 1 species